rnacentral:misc_RNA from 1 species
GAUGAAGAACGUAGCUAAAUGCGAUAACUAAUGUGAAUUGCAGAAUUCCGUGAAUCAUCGAGUCUUUGAACGCACAUUGCGCCCCCUGGUAUUCCGGGGGGCAUGCCUGUCCGAGCGUCAUUGCUGCCCAUCAAGCACGGCUUGUGUGUUGGGUCCUCGUCCCCCCCGGGGGACGUGCCCGAAAGGCAGCGGCGGCACCGCGUCCGGUCCUCGAGCGUAUGGGGCUUUGUCACCCGCUCUGCAGGCCCGGCCGGCGCUGGCCGACGCGAAAGCAACCAUUUUUUCUCCAGGUUGACCUCGGAUCAGGUAGGGAUACCCGCUGAACUUAAGCAUAUCAAUAAGCGGAGGA